rnacentral:lncRNA from 1 species
AUGUGUCUGAUCUUACACUCGUGGUUUGGAAAGGACCUUGGAGAUGGUGUCAUGCUCGGUUCUGUCCUUGGCAUUUUGCUGACUUUUUUCAAGAGUGGUUUUUUUGGCCUCUUGUACUAUCUCACGGUGGACAAACAUACUUUUUGGGAUAGAGAACUAGCUUCACCUUCACCGCUGACAUAUUUCAUAUACGAUUUGGUUAUUCUCCUGGCGUUCAUCCUGAUUUUCAUCGGAGGCAAAAAAUGCAGCUCCGCGCUGCUGGUAACCGGUCUCAUCUGUCUGAUUGUGGGAUUUGUGGCCCAAUUUCUGUCCCUGACCGUCCACAUUGCUGCGUGGAUCGCCAAAGGCCAACAGUUGCAGCAUGGAGCCGCCAACCAUCACCCGACGUUUUUCAUCAAAAGGACGACUGAGAUGCCGUUUCUCUUCUCAGAGGAACCAACUAUGAGGACAACGCUGACCGUCACGGCACUGUUCAUUAUAACCGCGAUGUACCUAAGUAAGUACAGUGUUCUUCAUGACCCUAAGAUUUUUCUGAGAUUUUGCAGAUUUAAAAUUUAACUCUCAUCCUUGAGGAAGAGAGAGAGAGAGGGAGGGAGCGAGAAAGGGAGAGAGGAGGCGAGAAGGGGAAAGAGGGGGAGAGAAAGGGAGAGAGAGGGGGGAGAGAGAGAGAGAGAGAGAGAAUGAGAAGGAAAAUCGUAAAAAUAUACGUAAAGAAAUAUCUGACGUAAGAAAUAUCCUUCUUUCAAGUCACAGCCAUGACAGAAGGAGAGUCAUGCGGCCGACUGCAGAGAAGCGCUUAACGGCUUUGUUUUUAAAAAAAGGAAUGAACGAUGAAAAAUGAGUAUAUUGCACAUCCACAAGUCACUUAUAUCAAUCUGCCUUCUAUAAAUCGAUUGUGUGUAUCAAUCAACGAUAGAACGUAGAUUUAGAAUUCUUUAUGCACUGACAUAUUGAUGGCUGAAGUACGAGACCGCAUCCGUCCGUUUGCGACAUUGUUGACCUUCACACAUACUUUACUUUUUCGUUGGAACACUAGUCAACGUAAUUUAAUGAGAAUUUAUUCCUUGUUUUUUCUUCGUUGUAAGUAGAAUAUCUAGCUGGAGUUCCAAGCUGUAAACUUGACUUGCUCUUCCAGAAAAUAAAAUAGGCGUGGAAACUUUGAAACGCCGCAACUAAGAUACAUGGUGUCGCACUUCAGCCACCGAUACUGAUGUAUAUACAAAAGACUUGAUUUCAUCUAUUUUUUUGACUUCCAGUUUACACUUUCUACUUUAUUAUGACGGUUACUUCGUACACUGCUCACAUCGGAGAGGUCAGAGUGCGGUGAUAACCGGUUCAAAUAAAUUGUGAUUCUGGAAAUCAGGAUCUCGAGAGAGCGAUCUUCACAAGACUCCCAACAUGGCAGGACGAGAGCACUGAGUCUGCGCAGUGAACGAACCGCGCGCCUUCAAUUGAGGCGUUAUGCAAUCUGACCUACUCAGGAGUUCGAAUAGUUGCCGCUCUGGGUUUGACCGAACUAUCCGCUGGGAUCUUCCGUGGACUCAACUGUGCAAGAUACAAAACUCUACGCGAGAAACGUAGGCGAUGGAGCCUUUUAUUAGUUGGCACCACGUUCCAUGAAUUUGGAAAGAUUUUUAUAGCAUGGGUAACCGGCUAACCGAAGGAGAAAAACGACCAUUGGAAAAGAAUAAGCCUCAUUAAACUAAUCAUCGUUCUUUUCAUACGCUUUUCGCGAUAUUUACUUCGGAAAAUGUAUCAAUCUCUAUUAGUGUAAAAUAAAAUUAGCUGCACUGGACAAACAAAUAAACCAAGUAAACUGAACUGCUACCAAAGUUGUGCAGUAUAAAGAACUGAAGCUGCGCUUAAAAUAUUUAAGGAUUAAAUUGGUAAUGUCCAGGUGUAAAAACAAAAAAAAGAUGAAAAAUCGGAGAAUACUCUUUGUGCCAGCCGGAAUAAGAUGCACAAUUUUGGCAGUAAUGCAAAGCACUUGGUCAAUCCCUGUCAAGAUGAUUUUAAUUAGUAGUAAAAAGAAAAGCGAUCUGUGAGAGAAUGAAAGGAAGGCUGAUGCUGGCUUCACAUGUUCUUCUAAUUAACAGAAGGUCUUAUACAUAAUGUAAAAUUAAAUUUGGAAGAAAUUCAUUGAAAAGCAAAAAAUGGGGGAAAUUAAGGUCAGUGUGCUAGAUGAAAACAGAAUUAAAGUGUCUAAAAACAAAACCUCUUUGUGUUCUUGGGCUGGAGUAUUCCGAAAGAGAUUUACGUAAUAGCCGUUGAGACUCUGGGACCUCAUUUCCGACAAUUUGGCUAAUUUAGUACAUCAAGGCACCGCAUUUAGAGACAAGUCUGUUAACAAUCGAAAUCUAUAAUCAGAAUAAAAUCAAUCAGAGGAAAAACUAGUAAAAAAUUUGGAAGAACAUUUCUGCAUUGGUUUAAUCCCGUGUUAAUUUUAGGGAAACAAUUCGGAAAAACAGAAAUAACCUGAGCAGAUGAAAGUAAUUACAUUGUGUUGUACAGAUGUUGCAUACAGAUGUACGUUGAUGUAAGUAAUUAUACUAUAGUUUUUUUACUUCAUGUUUUUGCUCCGUUGAAACAUAAAUAAAAUAAAGCAAAUCAUGUACAAUCAUUUUAAGCACAUAUUGUUUAUUACCGAACACGAUGCAAGGACUUUUAGAAAACAUGUAUGAAGCAAAACUUUCACUACUUGGUAACGAUUAAGUGCACCGUUUUACGAGGGGGAAAAAACUGAAAAAAAAAAAAAUGAAUUCGCGAUGGGCCGUACAGAAGGCACAUGCAGUCAUUUGGGGGAUCUUCGGGCUAUCGUGCAUUAUAUCUGUAUCAUAACAGAGUUGUUUUUAAAAUGAUGUCAAGCUAUAGAUAAAGAGGGAUUCAUACAUUAAAUCGUCGCUUACCUGGCAUAAGGGCGUAACUACAUAUUGAGAUGAGCCCGGAAAAGCAUUGACUUGUUUAGAAGACAGGGUUCAUUGCAGAGUGUAGUUACGCCUUUAUGUCAGGUAGGCGACGAAAUCGAUGCCGAUCAAAUUAAAACACAAUUUUCGGCUGAUUUGGAGGAGUUAUUAGCUCGAUAAAGUUGAACUGGAUCAAAUUACAACAUCUUCAUACUAGUUGACCGUCCACUUAACUUUUAAAAUACAAAUAUUCAGCAUACAUAGGAUGUCCCAAUAGUACUGAACGUUC